AAUUGCCUACGGGAGGCAGCAGUGAGGAAUAUUGGUCAAUGGGCGAGAGCCUGAACCAGCCACGUCGCGUGAGGGAAGACGGUCCUACGGAUUGUAAACCUCUUUUGCCGGGGAGCAAAAAGCGGUACGUGUACCGCAUCGAGAGUACCCGGAGAAAAAGCAUCGGCUAACUCCGUGCCAGCAGCCGCGGUAAUACGGAGGAUGCGAGCGUUAUCCGGAUUUAUUGGGAUUAAAGGGUGCGCAGG
rnacentral:rRNA from 1 species